AUACAGCUGUGGAAAGCAUGGAUUUAGCUGGUGCUGUCAGUUUUUAUGGCAUGGAAUCUAAUGCCCCUCUCCAUUCCUGCAGGCAUCUCCAAGAUGAUGAGUUAUUAUAUGGACACAACCAUCGGCAAUGCAGCUCCUUAUCCUUUGGCUUGGCCUGGAAUGAUGAAGCCGGGGCUGCCCGGGCCCUGCGAGGAUCCCUGGGGGACGUGUGGCUUCCCGGCCUCCUGCUGCCC
rnacentral:lncRNA from 1 species